UCCCUGGUGGCUCAGAUGGUAAAGCAUCUGCCUGCAAUGUGGGAGACCCGGGUUCAAUCCCUGGUUCGGGAA
rnacentral:tRNA from 1 species